CCUACGGGUGGCUGCAGUGGGGAAUAUUGCACAAUGGGGGAAACCCUGAUGCAGCGACGCCGCGUGAGUGAAGGAGUAUUUCGGUAUGUAAAGCUCUAGCAGCAGGGAAGAAAAUGACGGUACCUGAUUAAGAAGCCCCGGCUACCUAGGUGCCAGCAGCCGCGGUAAUACGUAGGGGGCAAGCGUUAUCCGGAUUUACUGGGUGUAAAGGGAGCGUAGACGGCAGCACAAGUCUGGAGUGAAAUGCCGGGGCUUAACCCCGGAACUGCGUUGGAAACGGUGAAGCUAGAGUGAAGGAGAGGGAAGUGGAAUUCCUGGUGUAGCGGUGAAAUGCGUAGAUAUUAGGAGGAACACUAGUGGCGAAGGCGGCUUACUGGACUGUAACUGACGUUGAGGCACGAAGGCGUGGGGAGCAAAAAGGAUUAGAUACCCUAGUAGUC
rnacentral:rRNA from 1 species